CCAAUCCUGAGGUGUUCGUAAGGCUUAUAUGUUCAACCGACAUAUAAAUUUAGGGAUUUUCAAUAACAAUUAUAGAUGUCAAGCUUCCAACUUAGGCGAAGUAGGCAGAAGGAAUUUGAGAGAAACCCACCUGCUAAGAUGCGGGUGUGACUUUUAAGUACAGCGGCACAAUGGGAAUAAU
rnacentral:other from 1 species